UACGUAGGUGGCAAGCGUUGUCCGGAAUUAUUGGGCGUAAAGCGUGCGCAGGCGGUUGUGUAAGUCAGAUGUGAAAUCCCCGGGCUCAACCUGGGAAUGGCAUUUGAGACUGCACAGCUAGAGUGUGUCAGAGGGGGGUAGAAUUCCACGUGUAGCAGUGAAAUGCGUAGAGAUGUGGAGGAAUACCGAUGGCGAAGGCAGCCCCCUGGGAUAACACUGACGCUCAUGCACGAAAGCGUGGGGAGCAAACAGG
rnacentral:rRNA from 1 species